UACGUAGGGUGCGAGCGUUGUCCGGAAUUACUGGGCGUAAAGAGCUCGUAGGUGGUUUGUCGCGUUGUUCGUGAAACUCACAGCUUAACUGUGGGCGUGCGGCGAUACGGGCAGACUGGAGUACUGCAGGGGAGACUGGAAUUCCUGGUGUAGCGGUGAAUGCGCAGAUAUCAGGAGGAACACCGAUGGCGAAGGCAGGUCUCUGGGCCAUAACUGACGCUGAGAAGCGAAAGCAUGGGGAGCGAACAGG
rnacentral:rRNA from 1 species